UACGAAGGGGGCUAGCGUUGUUCGGAAUUACUGGGCGUAAAGCGCGCGCAGGCGGUUCUUUAAGUCAGGGGUGAAAGCCCAGAGCUCAACUCUGGAAUUGCCUUUGAAACUAGAGAACUUGGGUACGGGAGAGGUGAGUGGAAUUCCGAGUGUAGAGGUGAAAUUCGUAGAGAUUCGGAAGAACACCAGUGGCGAAGGCGGCUCACUGGCCCGUUACCGACGCUCAGGCGCGACAGCGUGGGGAGCAAACAGG
rnacentral:rRNA from 1 species